UUUUUUAUUUUAUUUUUUUUCUUUUUAAAAAAAUCUUUAUUAUAGUUGGUUUACAAUGUUCUAGAAGUUUCUGCUGUACAGCAAAGUGACCCAGUUCUACCUAUACAUUCUUUUUCUCAUAUUAUCUUCUAUCGUGUUCCAUCCCAUGAGAUUGGCUAGAGUUCGCUGUGCUGUGCAGCAGGAUCUCAUUGCUUAUCCAUUCUAUUUUUUUUUUUUUUUUUUUUGUCUUUAUGUCUUUUCUAGGGCUGCACCCUUGGCAUACGGAAGUUCCCACGCUACGGGUGAAUGAGAGCUACAGCUGCACGCCUACACCACAGCCACGGCAACAUGGGAUCCGAGCCACAUCUGCGACCUACACCACAGCUCACGGCAACGCCGGAUCCUUAACCCACUGAACAAGGCCAGGGAUCAAACCCACAUCUUCAUGGAUGCUAGUCAGGUUCAUUACCACUGAGCCACGAUGGGCACUCCUUCUUCUUCUAUUUUUUUUUUAAGCCUCUUAACCUGAUACCUCUCAUAAACAUCCAGGCAAUUCUACCCCCAAAGUUGAAAAACACCCAAGGGCUGGGUGUUAUUUUAGGUGUGGGAGGGAACCAUGAAAUCAAAACACAGUGCAGAUCAAAGUUUGGCCCAGGGUUAGAAGAGGACGGAGGCAGGUGCCUCUUCCCGGGCAGAGUCUUGGGGAGUCCCCACCAGGUGUGGGGACAGGCCCGCCGGCCACUGCAGAUGGAGGCUGGGCAAAGACAGGGCCCCCUUCUCACCACUGGCUGGGCUCUGACCAGUCCAGCCUGGGUCCCGCUCGUUCCUGGAAGGAAUGGAACGGGUCUUCCCACUGCCGCCGUGGGCUCACACGGACUGAAUGCCCAGUCCAGCUCCUUCUUCACCUGAACUGAGGACUCUGAACUGAGAAAAGUACAACAAAGGAGCCAUCGAGAAAGGAAGUUAGAUACCGAGUGUCACGCACCCGGCCCUGGAGGGGCUGGCGGGCAUCUGCAUGAGGAGUGCCAGGGCAACAGGGGGCCAGACCCCACCUCAGCGGGGUUCAGCUCUUCAACACUUGCCUUCCCCCAGCUCUAAGUCUGUCCACACUUGCUGAGAACACAGCAGGGGGGCCAGCCACUCAGGCGCAGCGGCUGGGAAAUGGGGCCUGAGGGUCUCCGCCAGCAGCGCCGCAGGGCUAGAACACCCCGCUUCCCCAGUGGAGAUGGUGCCACACCUGCCCUCCUUUCUGGUCGCGUGACCUUGGGCCCAUCCCAGCCCCUCAAGGCCAGGUGCGCUUGCCACGCUUCUCCCAUGCUAACCAAGCCUUUGGGUCUCCUCCCAGGGGCUCCUGGGGUGACCCGUCCCUGUGCAGACAGGCUACGUGGAGCGCAGUUAUUAGAGGACUUAGUUUCGAGGUCACACUCUGGGAAUGUAGCAUCGUGUAUGUUUUCAUUUCUGGGUCUCGCCCGGCUUUAACCAAAACCAUGGACGUCAGGUUUGGUUCUCUUGACCAAGGGCAAGACUUGGACUUGGAUCCAACAGGAUUCCUGAGACUUUUCUCUAUUUCCUGACGAUCCGAGCGAUUAAAGAGCAAUGAAAUGUGCAAGUCUCUGUUGGCCUGAAACCACUUAACCUCUGGUUCUUCUGGUCCAAUAUGUUUGUAUGAGAUACACAGGCUCUGACAGGCCAACUGUGGCUCCCGACAGUGUGCUGCACACACACGUGGACAGGUGUUUGUGACUUUUAGAAAACGACGUGUCCAGCUCAGCCACAACCCUGCUGUGCGAGGCAGACCCCCGUCUGUGCCUCUCAAGUUCACGACAGUGGUGGCAACAACCUGCAAGCAAGGAAUAACCCGGAGCCGACUGAAUACCGACACUUACUGACGAGGACAAGCCAGGUAUACAGACAGCCUGCUGUGGACGGGAGCCGGCGGGAGAGAACCCCUGUUCCACAGGCUCUAGUCACACUUCUUUACAGAUCAGCAUCCAUCUGACAGAUGGAAACGUGUCGCUGCUACCUAAUUGUGCCAUAAAAUAAAGGAAGUAUCACCCAAGUAGCUUCCUUUUCAUCAUCUCACACUUCCAGUCAUCCAGUUUGGUGGGCCUUCUUUCUGAAAUAAAUCACAACUUUUUCCUAUCGUUUUCUCUUCCGGUUUCAUUGAGCCGUAAUUGACCCACAGCGCCGUGUACGUCAAGGGGGACCACGUAGUGAUCUGACUUACACAUGUUGGGUACGGAUGACCACGGUAAGUUUAGUGAACAUUCAUCAUCUCACAUAGGUACAAAAUUAAAGAGAUGGGAAAAAAAAUGUUUUCCUUGUGAUGAGAACUUUUAGGAUUUACUCUCUUAACUAUUUUUUCCUUCUUAGGGCUACACCUGUCACAUAUGGAAGUUUCCAGGGUAGGGGCCAGUUGGGGCUGCAGUGGCAGGCCUACACCACAGCCACAGCCAUGAAGGAUCUGCACUGCAUCUGCAUCCCAAGUUGCAGCUUGCGGCAAAACCAAAUCCUUACCACACUGAACCAGAUCUUAACACACUGAGCGAGGCCAGGGAUCGAACCCCCACCCUCACGGACACUGUGCUGGGUUCUUAACCUGCUGAGCCACAACGGGAACUCCACUCUGUUAACUUUCACAUGUAACAUAUAGCAGUCUUAAUUAUAGGUGUCAGGUGGUACCUUAUAUGCCUGGUACCUAUUUAUCUUGUAACUAGAAACUUGUAGCUUUUAACUGCCUUCCUCCUACCCCCACUUCUGGUAACCACAAAUUUAGUAUCAUGUGUUUGCCUAUGUUUUUAUUUUUUUAUGAACUUCUUAAAAAAACUGCAGUUGAUUUACAAUGUUGUGCUAAUUUCUGCUGUACAUGACACACACACACACACACACAUAUAUAUAUAUAUAUAUACAUGUAUCUCCUUUUUAUAUGAUCUUCCAUCAUGGUCUAUUCCAAGAGAAUGGACGUAGUUCCCUGUGCUGUGCACUAGAACCUCAUUGCUGAAAAAAGUCAAAACUUCUGAGAGAACCCAUCAUGGGCCACUGGUGGGAAAUGUGACCGUGACAGCACUGGCUCAUGAACACGUAGCAGUCACGCUGGCCUCCUGUGACCCUCAUGGCUUCUGAUCACUUCCUCUGACUUUAUGAAUUUAAGCGAACAACACACGCACACACACACACACAAAUACAAAGGUGUAGCUGUCAGAUCCCAGGGUGGAAACCAGCCUCCACCUGUGUAAUCUGACUCCUAAUGUCACCUGCGACAGAAACCACCCAUUGUCUUCCCUGUCAUUAAACAAAGAGAAAUAAAGCCAGCUAAGUUCAGUAAACAGCCGACUCAAAUUUCAGAAGCUAUUCUUAUUCAACCUCUCCUCCAGUAGAAAAACCACAAUGGUCGGGCAAAAACAAUGGGCGAGUGGUGCCAGCCGCCAGGUGAGGGCCUGCACCUGCGUCCCGAGUCAGGCACUGCCUGGACUGCCCCCCACACGUGGCCCCCGGAAGGUGGCAGCUGGGGCCCCUUUCAAGGACGGCGGUGGCUCUGAAGUGGAGGAACUUCUCAAACGCAAAUCGGCCUCUCCCGACCGAGGGUGCGGCCGUGGGGGCGGUUCUUGCACGUGGACACGCCGUGUCCCCACAAACCCUCCACCAGCCCCGGGAAAGCAUUUCCGCUGGGGCACGGCUACGAAUUGUCUCCUGCGGCCGACGGCAUUGGAAAGGCAAAGAUAAGAUGGAAAAACAAACAACACUGGCUGCCUUGGACGUCAAUAAAAAGUUGUCAGGCCACGUUCAGAGCCCCGAGUCGUGAAGAGAUCCUGCAAUCAAGCCACCAGCCACCAGCUGGAGGAAAUCUCACACACACACACACACACACACACACACACACACACACACACACACCCCCGCAUCCCGACCACAGGCUCUUUGCCAUCGGCUCUCCACCGCCUCUAUGUCGACAAACGAGGGGCUGCCAGAUUCAAGGUCCCAGACGUGGCGGUCAAGGUCCCUGCACCCCACCCCACCCCCACCACAGCAGAGAGCACGCUGCAGAACCCAUCAAAUUGGUUCUCUCCCCACCAGAUGGCAAGAGGAGGGGCAAACCCAAAAUGCAAACAGCAAAGGCUGCGCUGCCCCCUUGAACUCACCCAACAACACAUGAGGCUUUUUCCCACUCGCUGUGUACUUUCCAUGCGCCAGAGCCAAGGCUCAGAAUCUCCCUAUGUUAUUUCAUCCCAACCUGAGCACCCCUCGAGGACGUGGGGGGCGUCCCCACUUUACAGAAGACGGCCGUGGACCCCAGAAGUGGGAGGUCUCAGUUCACGGUUACAGCCUGGGUGGGACCCCGAGCUGACUCAAGCCCCACUCACUGUUCUAGUCUUAGUCUGUGCCACAUGCACAUGAGCAAGCAGGUCCACCUAUAGAAAGAACUAGAGGAUGCGCGUGACCCAGUCCCAAAGAGCCUGACCCCUCUCCCACCACUAAAGAUUACCGUAGUUAUCUCAACAACCAGCGAGUCAUCCACUCCGCAAACCAGGAGAUGACAUGCCAUGGACGUCUCGCAGGUGUAACCCAGAGCGACAACAAGGCAUCUAUUUCUAAAUGCCGUGCCAACAGCCGCAGCCACAUAAUGCCAAGGGUUCUGAGAAGGCUGCACUUCAAAGCUUGUGUCCGACGUCCCUCUAAAAGAAGAAUUCAUCUGGACCUGGCCAUGGGCGGGAGCAUGUCCGUGCAGCUGUCGUGCAGGACCUGUCCCCGGCCACAGUCAACACCUGGCAUAGCUUCCCACGUGGCACUUUCUCCACUGAUUUGCUUUUUCCCUCCUUGCUGAUAAGGCACAGGCCAAUACUGCGGUUUCCCUCUCACGCCGGCUUCCAGGAAACUGGGAGCCUUGUUUGCAGGUUUCAUCAGCUCAGUUGACAUUUACAGAGGGAGGUCUGCCUCCCAGAUCUUUCUCUCAGCCCCACCGCCUGUCAUUUCUAGUCAGUGUAUCACUCAAACCUGGUGCCCACCUUUUUUUUUUUUUUUUUUUUCAGGGCUGUACCUGCAGCAUAUGAAGGUUCCCAGGCUCGGGGUAGAAUGGGAGCUGCAGCUGCCAGCCUACAUCACAGCCACAGCAACACCAGAUCCGAGCUGCAUCUGUGACCUAUGCUGCAGUCUGUGGCAACACCAGACCCUUAACCCACUGAUUGAGACCAGGGGUCAAACCCAAAUCCUCAGAGACUGCAUCGGAUUCUUAACCCACUGAGCCACGAUGGGAACUUCCAUGGCCACAUUCUAAGCCACGGCAAUAAACAGGAAGAGAAUGUGCUACCAGAAAAGGCCCAGAAAAAUGAGCAGCAAGGCCAACAGCCAAGGGGUCAGGGCAGGAGGGCCACGUGAAGUUUCCUGGCUGCUGGGUCCCAAACACUUCAGGUGGUCACAAGGGAACCUCCGCCUGGCAGAGCAUGACGUCAUGAGGUGCAGGGGUCACGGGAGGUCACCAGGUCCUGUGGGCACAGCCUGGCACCAACCUCUCCUCUCCAACCAGGGCAGUGAAGGACGCUUCC
rnacentral:lncRNA from 1 species